GAGUUUGAUCGUGGCUCAGAUUGAACGCUGGCGGCAUGCCUUACACAUGCAAGUCGAACGGCAGCACGGGAGCUUGCUCCUGGUGGCGAGUGGCGAACGGGUGAGUAAUGCAUCGGAACGUAUCCUGGAGUGGGGGAUAACGUAGCGAAAGUUACGCUAAUACCGCAUAUUCUGUGAGCAGGAAAGCGGGGGACCUUCGGGCCUCGCGCUCUUGGAGCGGCCGAUGUCGGAUUAGCUAGUUGGUGAGGUAAAGGCUCACCAAGGCGACGAUCCGUAGCAGGUCUGAGAGGAUGAUCUGCCACACUGGAACCGAGACACGGUCCAGACUCCUACGGGAGGCAGCAGUGGGGAAUUUUGGACAAUGGGGGCAACCCUGAUCCAGCCAUGCCGCGUGAGUGAAGAAGGCC
rnacentral:rRNA from 1 species